GGUAAAUUAAUUUGCUCCCAUGUUAUGAAGGGGGAACAGAUUAUUUCAUCCAGCUAAAAUACUUGGUUCCCCCCUCAUAACUUUGGCAAAAAUUGAGCAAAUGUUUUUAAACUUAUAGGAUUUGUGGUUCAUUAAGAGAGGAAUAAGCACAUUUAAAGACUUGCUAGAAAAUUAUUUAUUUCCAUGUUAUACAGGGGGAAUGGACUAUUUCAGGCAGCUGAAAUAUAUGGUUCCCCUCCCUUUAACUUUGGCAAAUAAGAGCAAAUGCUACCAAAAUCACAGGAUUUGUUGUUGAUGAAGAGAGGAAAAAGCAUGGUGAAAGACUUUCUGGUAAAUUAAUUAGCUCCCAUGCUGUAGAGGGGGAACAGAUUAUUUCAGGCAGCUAAAAUAUAUGGUUCCCCUCCCUUUAUCUUUGGCAAAUAAUGAUCAACUGUUACCAAAUCCACAGGAUUUGAGAUAUGAGAAGAAUAAACACAGUUAAAGACUUGGAUUUAAAUCAAUUUGUUCCCAUUUUAUGGAGGUAGAAUAGAUUAUUUCAGGCAGCCAAAAUAUCUAUAACUUUGGGAAAUAAAAAGCAACUGUUUCCAAAUUCUCAAAGAAAUUUCCUUAAUCCAGUAAUCUGCUAUAUUUUACAUUAGAACAGGAUUUACCAGAAAGCCUACACGCUCAUCUUUUCAGGAAGUCUUAAAUUUUGUGCCCUGCUAUCCAGCCAGCUUCCAUUCUCUUAUAUCAGCAAUGAAAAAUUAUAAAUACACACAACGUCUUGGAAACCCAUGUUUGGUGACUGACUUUGUCAGGCUUAAGUGACAAAAGUUGAAGAAAGACCGAUUCUCUUGGCGAUA